UACGGAGGGUGCAAGCGUUAAUCGGAAUUACUGGGCGUAAAGCGCACGCAGGCGGCUUGUUAAGUCAGAUGUGAAAUCCCCGGGCUCAACCUGGGAACUGCAUCUGAUACUGGCGAGCUUGAGUCUGGUAGAGGGGGGUGGAAUUCCAGGUGUAGCGGUGAAAUGCGUAGAGAUCUGGAAGAAUACCGGUGGCGAAGGCGGCCUCCUGGACGGAGACUGACGCUGAGGUGCGAAAGCGUGGGGAGCAAACAGG
rnacentral:rRNA from 1 species